UCCAAUGUGUACACCGCAUCUGCC
rnacentral:siRNA from 1 species